GUUUGCUGGUCAGCCUGGGCAAAGGAAUGCCUUCUUAACGAAAUUAGGAUGUUGUGUGAAGUCCUGCUGUCGUCACUAUGGUUCCUGUUUGUUAUCUUCUGGGUGGAGACAAUAAGUGUUUGGCUGUUUCUGUCCAUGUUUUACCAGGACAGGGCAUUUUACCACUGGGGAGACGGGGUAUUUUCAGAUGAUCCUGGGCAGAUGAUUUACAUGUUAAGCAGGCA